UACGUAGGUGGCGAGCGUUGUCCGGAUUUACUGGGCGUAAAGGGAGCGUAGGCGGACUUUUAAGUGAGAUGUGAAAUACUCGGGCUCAACUUGAGUGCUGCAUUUCAAACUGGAAGUCUAGAGUGCAGGAGAGGAGAAUGGAAUUCCUAGUGUAGCGGUGAAAUGUGUAGAGAUUAGGAAGAACACCAGUGGUGAAGGCGAUUCUCUGGACUGUAACUGACGCUGAGGCUCGAAAGCGUGGGGAGCAAACAGG
rnacentral:rRNA from 1 species